GACGAACGCUGGCGGCGUGCUUAACACAUGCAAGUCGAACGGAAAGGCCCUGCUUUCGUGGGGUGCCCGAGGGGCGAAGGGGUGAGUAACACGAGAGUAACCUGCCCUUGACUUUGGGAUAACGACAGGCAGCUGGGGCUAAUACCGGAAAGGAGCUCCUGCUGCAUGGUGGGGGUUGGAAAGAUGCGGAGGUUGGGGAUGGACUCGCGGCUUAUGAGCUAGUUGGUGGGGGAUUGGCUAACCAAGGCUUUGACGGGUAGCCGGCCUGAGAGGGUGACCGGCCACCUUGGGACUGGGCUACGGCCCGGAGCCCUACGGGAGGCAGCUGUGUGGAAGUUUGCACAAUGCGCGGAAGCCGGAUGCAGCAACGCCGCCUGCGGGAUGACGGCCUUCUGUUUGGAGGCCGUUUUCUCCUGUGACUAAGCGUGAGUGACGGUAAUGGGUAAAGAAGCACCGGCUAACUCCGUG
rnacentral:rRNA from 1 species